CAACACAGUCGCACAUACAUGACAUUACACCUCGUAACUUUCAAAAGUUCCUUCAAUUAAAUCAAAAUAAAUUAAAAAAUUGAACAACGGAGAUCGGAUAAUGAGUUAACUGUUUUGAAUUUCAGGUGAAGUUUUCGUGUACCUGCCUACCUGGUCUUCUGAAGCUAAACAAUUUCUGUUGCAAGAUUUUGUAAAUCUUCAAGAUAUUGAUGCCUUCGCCAGAUCCAAUUCUUUGCUACAUACUGUGUGUCACAACAGCAAGAAAAUGCUGCCACUCAAGAUUUUGUGGUGAUCACCACUUAGUUCUAAUUUAGGAGGACAAUGUAAGAUUGAUAGAUUUGAGGUUAAUCCCUCUCCUCUGUUUUGGAAACCGACAAGAGAUUUCUGGAAUGGAAGACUGAUAAUUUGUGUAGACGUAGAUAAAUUACAAGUGCAUAUUUGGGCUCCCUUCUUUUCUGUGGCCCCGUUUCCCCUACUAACCAAUAACCAACUCCCGCCGGUGGUCACUCACUCGCUGUACUAAGGAGGACGAGGAGGGCGCAGGGCGCUGGUCGAGCGGGGACUACUUGGAAGGCUCAUAAUUUGAUGAAAAUGGAGGUUUAUGAGUAGAGUCUAAUCAGGAAUAUGACUAUGACUAAUUGCUCCCUAGCAAAACUGGGCACACUUUUCUUUGUCGGAGUUAAUCAAGAUAGUGUUUUCCCCCGUCAUUGAUUGACGGUACCUGCAAGUCGGCCAAACAGGGGCAUUUAUUUAUUCGGUUGGUGUUGAUUUGUUAGAAUGCCAACUGUCUAGUGUACGUAUGUAUUAACAGAGUUAAAUACGCGGUUUAUAUU